GGUUGUGUAGUGUAGUGGUUAUCACUCCAGAUUUUGAGUCUUUUCGACCUAGUCGAGAACAAAGUAAAGCACUUCUGGUAACCCCGGUUCGAACCCGGGCACGACCU